UUCGAACUGUCAAAGCCAAACCGUCUUUAGACUGUUCACUACAGAGCGUGCACGCUUCGCUCUAAUGAAAUUUGAGGGUUGACCUUGGAAAGUAGCACUAGUGGCAUCAACUAUGAGGACUUGACAACAACAAAAGUGUUCGAGUUAUGGUGUUCUGAAUCGGUAGAUCCACGGUUUGCUUAGACGUGUACUUUUUUGUCGAUUUUUAUUUUGUAUGUUGCAUAGUUUUAUCUUGAUUUUAUUAUAGCCGAGUCUUUUUGUACAUUUUGGUUUAUGUUGUAAACUAUAACGUAAGGAUGAUAUAUAUUUUGUAUUUUAUAACAAAAGAAAGAGAGAGUGAUUGAACGAGAAGUGAGAGAAGAGGAGUGAGUGUGUUUUUGUAUUGGAAAUAAUACAAGAGAGAUGAUAAUUAUUAAACUUGAUUCAUCCUUCUCUUUGUUACAAUGAUCGACAUAUUUAUAGGGAAGUAAGUCGGUAACAUUAACUAACUUUGAAAGGAAGAAGACAAAACAUAGGAUAAACAUUAUCCUAAUAGAUAAUUAUAAACCAAGAUAUUUUUGCCAAAAUAUCUUAUAACACUCCCCUUUAAUUAUUUAUUUUGUAUUACGUAGUGCCUCGUUUGGUCAUGGAAAAAUCUAUUGGGACAAAAACCAUGACAAGGGAAAAAGAGUACACUGUCGUAAUCUUCUCCUGAGAGUAGUGAACCUAACUUCCUCGUUACAAGUCACGCAAAUGCCGCAUUCCAAUACUGUAGACGUGUUUUCGGAAUGUUGUAGUCGGAAGAUGAUAAAAACCUCCCAAGGAAUACACUCUGAAAUUGGUAAGGGAUAAGCCUUGCACCGAAUGAGCCCGAAAGCAACAAACGAUCAAGGGAUGUGGAUCGAAAGGUGACACAAGAGAGGCGGAAAGUCUCUUGAUACUACCCUAUAAUGAUCGCCUCUAGAUAUGACACACUAGAUUAGACCAAGUUAGACUGAAGGAUAUUACACACCAACAAUCAUAAAAGUUUUGACCAAUGGAUAUGACACACCAUGAUCGAAAACAAGUUUGAGAAUCACUCUCAAGGUUCCAAAAAUAAUCACUCAAAGCUUAUUUUAUUUCAAUGGAGAUUACAACUUAUUUAUAAGAGACUAAACUUGAUCACAAAGCUAGAUAGUUAUUACAUUGGAAAUGAUAAAACUAGUGCAUGGAGGAGAGAGAGUGUUUUUGAAACAAGCAUUCUUUGCAUGUAGGAGAGAGAAGCUUUCCAUGCAAUUAACCACCUAAUUUUCGUCACUCUCUUUGGCCAGCAAAGAAACCAUUUGAUUUAGAAUCUUCUUGGGCUUGUAACUUGAUAAAAAUGGGCUGGACAUGUUAGCUAAUAUCUUGGGUCAAUUUCUGAAUGUCUUCCAUGUCCAUAGCCUCACAUAUGAGCCCAAUAUCACAUCAUACUCCUCCUCUUCAAAAAGAUUUGUCCUCAAAUCUUGCUCUCCGAAGAAAGAAAAACUUGAAUACACACUUCCCAAAAGAUCCAGCAGAUUUGUAGAACAUAAAUAACAAAACUUUUUUUUUUUUCUUUUUUUUUUUUUAGAAGAUGGAUAGAUGAGAAUGGUGAAUAACAGAAGUGAAUACCGCUUUCAGAGUGGCUCUGAUACCAAAUGAUAAAAACCUCCCAAGGAAUACACUCUGAAAUUGGUAAGGGAUAAGCCUUGCACCGAAUGAGCCCGAAAGCAACAAACGAUCAAGGGAUGUGGAUCGAAAGGUGACACAAGAGAGGCGGAAAGUCUCUUGAUACUACCCUAUAAUGAUCGCCUCUAGAUAUGACACACUAGAUUAGACCAAGUUAGACUGAAGGAUAUUACACACCAACAAUCAUAAAAGUUUUGACCAAUGGAUAUGACACACCAUGAUCGAAAACAAGUUUGAGAAUCACUCUCAAGGUUCCAAAAAUAAUCACUCAAAGCUUAUUUUAUUUCAAUGGAGAUUACAACUUAUUUAUAAGAGACUAAACUUGAUCACAAAGCUAGAUAGUUAUUACAUUGGAAAUGAUAAAACUAGUGCAUGGAGGAGAGAGAGUGUUUUUGAAACAAGCAUUCUUUGCAUGUAGGAGAGAGAAGCUUUCCAUGCAAUUAACCACCUAAUUUUCGUCACUCUCUUUGGCCAGCAAAGAAACCAUUUGAUUUAGAAUCUUCUUGGGCUUGUAACUUGAUAAAAAUGGGCUGGACAUGUUAGCUAAUAUCUUGGGUCAAUUUCUGAAUGUCUUCCAUGUCCAUAGCCUCACAUAUGAGCCCAAUAUCACAUC
rnacentral:lncRNA from 1 species